ACCUCCCUCUGUCUGGCUCUCUGCCCAUGGAUGGGCGAGGCUCAUGGCGGACGAAGGCAGCCAGGCUGCCAGUGCCAGGCCCCUCCUUUUCCGUGCGCCUGCCGGCACCCGCGCGCUCGCCAUUGAUUCGGCCUCGUUUGCGCUAGCUAGGACUCUAGGAGUAGUUCCCUUUCCUCCCUUUCUUUCUUGUGCUGCUUUUUUUUAUCCUCGUAAAAAAAAUGAAACCGUAGAGGUAGAGGACAGAGACGAAGCAACUGCAGUGCCGGCCGGGCCAGCGCUGCGUGGAUCUAUCCACCGAUCGCAUCACAUACAUACU
rnacentral:misc_RNA from 1 species